rnacentral:rRNA from 1 species
CAGAGGUACUGCUAUCGAGAUUCGACUAASCCAUGCGAGUUGAAUGUUCUUCGUGAACAUGGCGGACUGCUCAGUAACACGUGGACAACCUACCCUUGGGUCCGGCAUAAUCCUGGGAAACUGGGAAUAAUUCCGGAUAGGUCACCGAUGCUGGAAUGCGCGGUGGCCGAAAGCUCCGGCGCCCGAGGAUGGGUCUGCGGCCUAUCAGGGUUGUAGUGGGUGUAACGUACCUACUAGCCUACGACGGGUACGGGUUGUGAGAGCAAGAGCCCGGAGAUGGAUUCUGAGACACGAAUCCAGGCCCUACGGGGUGCAGCAGGCGCGAAAACUUUACAAUGCGGGAAACCGUGAUAAGGGGAUCUCGAGUGCCAGCAUAUAAUGUUGGCUGUCCAGAUGCCUAAAAAGCAUCUGUUAGCAAGGGCCGGGCAAGACCGGUGCCAGCCGCCGCGGUAACACCGGCGGCCCGAGUGGUAACCGCUAUUAUUGGGUCUAAAGGGUCUGUAGCCGGCCAGGUAAGUCCCUUGGGAAAUCUGGCAGCUCAACUGUCAGGCUGCUAGGGGAUACUGUUUGGCUUGGGACCGGGAGAGGUGAGAGGUACCUUGGGGGUAGGGGUGAAAUCUUGUGAUCCUCGAGGGACCACCAGUGGCGAAGGCGUCUCACCAGAACGGGUCCGACGGUAAGGGACGAAAGCUAGGGGCACGAACCGGAUUAGAUACCCGGGUAGUCCUAGCCGUAAACGAUGCUCGCUAGGUGUCAGUCACGGUGCGACCGUGAUUGGUGCCGUAGGGAAGCCGUGAAGCGAGCCACCUGGGAAGUAUGGCCGCAAGGCUGAAACUUAAAGGAAUUGGCSGRGGMGCMCYACAACGGGUGGAGCCUGCGGUUUAUUG